CACGUAGGGGACGAGCGUUGUCCGGAUUCAUUGGGCGUAAAGCGCGCGUAGGCGGCUCGGAAAGUCGGGCGUGAAAUGCCGGGGCUCAACCCCGGGACUGCGUCCGAUACUUCCGAGCUGGAGGUAGGUGGGGGAGAUCGGAAUUCCUGGUGUAGCGGUGAAAUGCGCAGAUAUCAGGAGGAACACCGGUGGCGAAGGCGGAUCUCUGGGCCUUACCUGACGCUGAGGCGCGAAAGCUAGGGGAGCGAACAGG
rnacentral:rRNA from 1 species